AGAGGAGGAUGCCUUUCUUUAGGUGUGGUAUGUUAUCAUGACACUGAUCGGCAUCAUGCUUGGUAAUUAUUUACUGGUCUCUAGGAAAAGGAAAUGACAGGUUGAUACUUUGAUUUUUAUUGCAGAGCAACUGAUGAUUGCUUGUUAUUGUCUUGUAUAAUACAACAUUUUCAAAUGGAAUACACGAACUUUUUAUUUUUUGGCA
rnacentral:misc_RNA from 1 species